UACAGACCGUACAGAUGAGCUUAUUUCGUAUGGCCAGAAUCACACACCCGACCGGAUGGGCUAUGAGAUGUUGCCCCCCGAUUUCCCUGAUCGGGUCCCACUGUUGCUGGUGAAGAUCUGUCCGUACAGUCAGCGGAUCUGAGGAUGAGAGAGGUUUGGAUCUGUAAUGACUGCAGUGGGAGCACCGAUACCUGCUUAAAGUAGCCCCAGUCUGUGCCUACCUAAGUGAGGAGUGAUGAAUCCUCCUCUCCAGUUCCUUAAUAACAAAGUCUGCCUUCCUUUCAGCUCCUCGCAUACCUACUCACUUGAAACCUUGGUUUAACCCGUCCUACCAUUGGUCACUGUAUUGACUUGAUCGUGAGGCUCCCAGAGAGGCUUUAAUUGAAUUUGCAGCUGAAGAAAUAGAUCUGGAGGGACAGAAAGAGAGAUGAUGCUGGGGCAGUGGAAAAAGCUUUGAGGAGACGAGUUGCCUCCGGGGAAUAUGAAGGCACGAAAGUUGCUUUGAUUCACGGAAACCAGAGAGAGGCUGAGAGCGGUGAAAUGAGCUGUAGACCAGAACAAGUCUCUAAGGCGGUUCAGAAAACUUGGGUUUAAUUUAGAGAGGAGUUUUGAACAACAGCUUAAAUCAGAGGCACCAGGCAAUGUUGUUUUAGGGGACGUUUCCAGUGAGCGGCUUAGCAGAGCCGUGGAAGGGUUUUGGAGGGAAGCUGGGUGAAAAGCAACGCUUAACGAACCAGAAACCGGGAAUUAGAAUUGGUUCCUCAAAACCAGGAGGGACCAAUACAAGAUGGGUGAUGCAACACAGGAGCACCAUGAAGCAAGCCAUUUGCCCUGCUUCUUGAGCCAGAGUUGUAGCACUCAGCCUGGGCACAGACCUGACUUACCUCCGCUAUGAAGAGUCACUUGAGCACAAUGUCUGCAAACUCAACCACCUUCUCAUUGCUACGCUUCCUGAAUCCUGAAUAAAGGAGAAAAAAAAGUGGUGACACAAUCCUACAGGAUUGCUCGCUGUGAAAGCUAAGAUAAACUUGGCCCACGUUACAUCAUCCAUCCUUUGGGUAUACUGCAGAAAUCACUCCAGCUCUCUUCAGCACCCUGGGCAGCACGUGGACUUCUAAUUGUAGGUUGCUGGCUCCUGACACUGCCAUGCCUUAAUUCCGCCAGCCCCAUGAGAAGAUUAUGCUCGUGAGAUGCUGACCCCUUCCUGCUGGUGCCCUGCCUGAAGAUCUCCUGGCCCUCGUGUUCACUGCUAGGCCCACGGAGAUCGAGAGGCUCUGGGAGGUGUCUUGGACAAGCCCAUUGUUUGGGCUGUGACACCAUGCUGCCAAUUAAUCUUAAUUAAUUAGUAAAUCACAGCUAGCAUUUACUGUUGUGAGUAAGCUCAACUGUUCACAAUAGGUAGUUGCACUGCCAGCCCCAAUAAUCAGGUGGCAGAUUCACCAAAAUCAAGAGCUCAUUGUAAGGAUGAUGAUAUUUUAUGGAAAAGAUUAGUAAUGAAUGGGUGUUCGUGUGCAUUUCUGCUUUGUCUCCUUGACUGUUUAAAUUUCCUUACUAAUUUUUUUUUUCAAAUUGCAGGCCCCCAAGAAUCAUGUUUACAAGAAAUGAAAUAUUAAUAUACUUAGAAGAGAAAAAUCGAUUUGAUCUGUACAAACUAUUGUGACUGCAAGGGCUGGGAUUUUUCAGAAUACCAAGCAAUGCCAUGGAAGUCCCUCCAAAGUUGGAAGCAGCCAUGGUGAGCUGGCACACGAGUGGUCCUGAGCUUGCACACGGCACCGCGAGGGAUCUGUUCCCCUGGGGAAGAAGCGAAGGGAGGAGGACAAAGAUUACAGUGUUAAGAUCAUGCUGUUGCUAUGCUGCCUACCCGCCCAUCAGUGCAUUUCUUCGCCAUCCUCCCACAGACACUCGUCUGACUCCUGCCCCUGCAGCUGGUGCAUGCCUGGCGUCUCCUGACCUGGGCUGGCUCUCGCCUGCAGUUCUCCUGCAGGUGGAGAGGAAAUGCAUUGGCAUUUCCUGCAACAGCCUUCUUGAGGUUGGAGGUAUUAAAUCACAGAAACUUUUUGAGGGAUCGUGGCAAAGCUGGUCUGUGACAAUGUGACAAGGAAAUUCGAUCAGAGGACAUGGAGAUUAUAGGAUAGACUAGACUGAGCAGAGGAUGCAAGCAGCUGCUUACUGGAAAGAGACACCGUGAACAAGGGCAUCUGAAGACGACACCGCAGGUGGUAAGGAAUAGAGAAGUCUGGAGCCCAGAUCACGGAGGAAGCAGUGUUAAACAAACUGUCACCCAGCAUUUGUCAUCAAUGUUAACCUGGUAACCAGGCAACUGAGAGAUAUGUAAGAAGCUCACUGCUUCAUCCAGAGUGAAGGGAUGUGUUUGGAGGAGAUGAGAAAGGGCUUAAGAGCUCUCUGAUUCACGGGAUCAGCAACCCAUCAUCAGGGGCUGUCGGGCUGGCAAGCAGGACACACUCACACACGUGCUGACUUUAUAGGAUAGAUUAAGGGUGAGGCAGGAAAGCAUGGAAAUGAAGGGAAGAAAUCAGCACAAAUGGGAACUGUACCAAAGAGCUGAAGCUUCAAUUAUUGCUGUCAUUAGUUACCUCUCAACAAUUCCUGUAGUUGUCCCAACUGCAGUAUUUCACAUUGGUUUACUGCAUUCCCUCUACCUCUCCAGGGAUGUGCAUCCAGUGUGUCUCUGUGAAGCUUUGUUCUCAGCUACAGGACAUAUUCAGCCCCACGUAUCAUCCCUCCACUGCCCAGAGACCACAUCGGACAUCAUCAGCUUCAACAGAGGGAAGGAGAGCCACCAGACACCAAACAGCAGCAGGUGGGGAUGGAGGAAUAAAGAUGUUGAAAAGAACUGUUGACAUCCAGAGACCGGUUUGUCUUUGCAGACAGGAGACCUUUUAGUUGGACUGGUUUCAUACAGAGAAUGGUUUGAAGGUCCUGUACAAGAGAAGAGAAGUUUGGCAGGAAACAGAAAGCUGCGUACAGGUGAGAUGAAAUCAGGAAUGCGUGGCACAUGAAGAGACAUGGAAGGGUCUGGGGACAGAGGAAGGGGUUUGGAGAAGGGGUAGGGUGAAGGGGGAGAUGAAAGGGUUGUUAACACCCUGCGUGCAUCCUGAAAGGAGAACGCAGCACUCAAAAUUUGGCUUUCCCACUCACCCGGCCGUGUGAGCAGAGGGUGUGCAGAGUUCCUCGCUGCCAUCUCUCUGUGCAGAGCAGGAAGGAGGCACUCUACACACCAUGGCCUUCUGUUACGGGCUUAAUGAUAAAGUUGGCUGAAGCUGAACUAUUUUCAUUAUAACAGCCUGUGAAUUCAUUUCCCUGCGUUUCAGCCCAAUCCAUUUUUUUCUGCUUGACAUUAAGGAAGCUCUGCUGCAGCAGGCAAUCCAGUAGAGAGCGAUAACAGGAUUGGAAAGGAGAGGCGGUCACCCAAGGUCAGCAGAAGCCUUUGGCUGCCAGUGCCAGGGUGGCUCAGCAAAGGUCACCGCAAAUGGGCAGAGACGUCUGUUUUGCAAAAGGCUGCUCAGCAUACACAGUGGGCCGGGCCCAAGUCAUCAGGGGGGAUUCAGUUAUGCGUCUGGCACCCAGAGAAGCAAGGGAUGCUGAUGUCUGCACUUGGUCAGGAGGAGACAAAGCUCAGCAAAGAAGACAAUGCAGCUGUGACUGUCAUGUUGGCUUUGCUUCAUUUACGGUGCCUGUUAAUUAUACGAGGCUUGUGUUGGGAACAGCUGGCAAGUUCCCUCCUUCUGUCCCGCUUCUGCAUGCACUGGGUCGGUUGUGUUCUUCUCGGGAUUUAAAAGUGCCAGGACUGGGAGGGAUUUGUUAACUGACUCUUUGCCACAAAGGUGACUCAAGUCAGACCCAGGAGGUCCAUGGAGCUGGAUGCCAGUCAGCUGGUCCUGACCUCUCUUCUUCGUUCCUCUCGUUGUGUGUCCGGGCACCAGUUCUCAUUCUGCUUCUGGUUGUGCCACUCCCCAGUUUUAAACUGAGCUGUGAAACAAUUUCAUUUCAAACCAUACAAGCUGACCAAAGGAAAAGAAGGAAAAAAAUAAUUUCAGAUAUGGCUGCUACAAACCUAGAUCCUCCACAUUGUAUAUAGUUUAGUGGUUUUGCCUUUUAAAGGUUUGGAAUUGCUAGAGCCAUGGGGGGAAACAAUUCAGAAGUUUAAGGCACAGAACUUUUGUUACUCCCUCUAACUCAGGAGAGGUUAUAUUUGUUAGGCAGUGGUGCAUUAGUUACAGGAGGGCUCACUUUCAGAAAA